rnacentral:rRNA from 1 species
CGUCGAUGCUGCGUGCUGGAUGAAGGUCUUCGGAUUGUAAACAGCUGUUGGGGGGGAUGAAGUGCAUGGGAGCUAUCUCCUGUGUUUGACAGAGCCCCAGAGAAAGCGCGGGCUAAGUUCGUGCCAGCAGCCGCGGUAAUACGAACUGCGCGAACGUUAUUCGGAUUCACUGGGCUUAAAGGGUGCGUAGGCGGCUUGUUAAGUGGGAUGUGAAAUUUUGCGGCUCAACCGUAAGACUGCAUCUCAUACUGGCAAGCUGGAGUGAGUCAGGCGUGUGUGGAACUGCCAGUGGCAGCGGUGAAAUGUGUUGAUAUUGGCAGGAACGCCGGUGGCGAAAGCGACACACUGGGGCUUAACUGACGCUGAGGCACGAAAGCCAGGGGAGCAAACGGGAUUAGAUACCCCGGUAGUCCUGGCCGUAAACGAUGAGUACUAGGCUGGGGGGAUUCGUCUUCCCAGCCGUAGGGAAACCAUUAAGUACUCCGACUGGGGAGUAUGGUCGCAAGGCUGAAACUCACAGGAAUCGACGGGGGCUCACACAAGCGGUGGA